GCCUGGGUGGCUGGGUUGGUUAAGCAUCUGUUUUUGGCUCAGGUCAUGAUCCUGGGGUCCUGGGAUCGAGCCCUGCCCGGGCU
rnacentral:tRNA from 1 species